GUGCUCAUUUCGGCAGCACAUAUACUAAAAUUGGAAUGAUCAGAGAUUAGCAUGUGCAAAAAUGAUACAUAAAUUCCCGAAGUGCUCCAUAUUUUU
ensembl:snRNA U6 U6 spliceosomal RNA